AUUGAACGCUGGCGGCAGGCCUAACACAUGCAAGUCGAACGGUAACAGGAAGCAGCUUGCUGCUUCGCUGACGAGUGGCGGACGGGUGAGUAAUGUCUGGGAAGCUGCCUGAUGGAGGGGGAUAACUACUGGAAACGGUAGCUAAUACCGCAUAAUGUCGCAAGACCAAAGAGGGGGACCUUCGGGCCUCUUGCCAUCGGAUGUGCCCAGAUGGGAUUAGCUUGUUGGUGGGGUAACGGCUCACCAAGGCGACGAUCCCUAGCUGGUCUGAGAGGAUGACCAGCCACACGGGGACUGAGACACGGUCCAGACUCCUACGGGAGGCAGCAGUGGGGAAUAUUGCACAAUGGGCGCAAGCCUGAUGCAGCCAUGCCGCGUGGAUGAAGAAGGCCUUCGGGUUGUAAAGUACUUUCAGCGGGGAGAAAGGGAGUAAAGUUAAUACCUUUGCUCAUUGACGUUACCCGCAGAAGAAGCACCGGCUAACUCCGU
rnacentral:rRNA from 1 species